rnacentral:rRNA from 5 species
GAACGACUCUCGGCAACGGAUAUCUCGGCUCUGGCAUCGAUGAAGAACGUAGCGAAAUGCGAUACUUGGUGUGAAUUGCAGAAUCCCGUGAACCAUCGAGUCUUUGAACGCAAGUUGCGCCCGACGCCUUCUGGCCGAGGGCAUGUCUGCCUGGGCGUCACGC